GUGCCAGCCGCCGCGGUAACACGUAGGCACCAAGCGUUGUCCGGAUUUAUUGGGCGUAAAGAGCUCGUAGGCGGUUCGAUAAGUCGGGUGUGAAAACUUUGGGCUCAACCCAAAGCGUGCAUUCGAUACUGUUGUGACUAGAGUUCGGUAGGGGAGUGGGGAAUUCCUAGUGUAGCGGUGAAAUGCGCAGAUAUUAGGAGGAACACCGGUGGCGAAGGCGCCACUCUGGGCCGAAACUGACGCUGAGGAGCGAAAGCGUGGGUAGCAAACAGGAUUAGAUACCCCAGUAGUCC
rnacentral:rRNA from 1 species